AGCGAACGUUAGCGGCAGGCUUAACACAUGCAAGUCGAGCGCGAAUGGAGGAGCAAUCCUCCUAGUAGAGCGGCGGACGGGUGAGUAACACGUGGGUAAUCUGCCCUUCGGCGGGGGACAACCAUUCGAAAGGAUGGCUAAUACCGCAUACGUCAGCUUGGUCUGCGGAUCGAGUUGGGAAAGCUAGCUUCCGCAAGGGAGCCGGCACCGAAGGAGGAGCCCGCGUCGCAUCAGCUAGUUGGUGAGGUAAUGGCUCACCAAGGCUUAGACGCGUAGCUGGUCUGA
rnacentral:rRNA from 1 species